CGGAAGGCAAAUUCCUAUGGCUUCCCACUUUGCCUGCACUUGGCUUAAGAAAAAAAAAACUUAGAUACUUCAGAGAUGGUUUAGAAGUUAUGCUCUUUUAUUUUUUAGGUAACAGUGAGAAAUUGCCUCAAAAUUGUAGCGUAUGUGCCAGCAUCACUUUCCUGGUCCUGCAAGGCUUCCUUAUAGAAGAACUUCAUUUCUACAGGAGCUGAUAAGUCUGAAUGAGGGAGAUUUUGCCCAGAAAUUCCAUCUCCGGGUUCCUCUGCAAUGAUACCUCGCGUUUGACAUUUCAGUGGCAGUGAGGAAGCCACUGCAAGGCACUCAGGAUGCUGUCUGGAGACCAGGAAAGGGCCCGAUCGACCCUCCCUCAGGGAGAGAGGGGUCGAGGAUACUUCCCUGGAGACAGGCUUUAUGGUAGUGGGCACCAAUUCAGCAAGACUGGGGGGCACUGAGAAGACCUCUUAUUACCACCCAACUCUGACCUCCCUGCCUGCAAGAGCAUCGGAAAUCUGGAUGUCACGUGCCUUUGUGUUCCUGGAGGCCCUGAAAGGGGAGAAGUGAGAACAGCGCAUCAGUGGCUACUCACCAUCUGAAAUGCCAGCACUCCCAGGAGAAGGACCAGAAGGCUCACAUGCUGUGCCAUGCUCAGGUGCUGAAAGCACAGGGAAACCUUUUUAUUUAUGCAAAUAAACAUGCGCAUGUAUAUAUGCA